CCCCGCCCUCUCACCCACGCGCCCCCUGCCCUCACCGCGCCGGUCGCCGCCACUGCUCCCUCUGCCCCUCACCCCGCCGUCUCACCCACGCGCCCCCUGCCCUCACUGCGCCGGUCGCCGUCGCCGCUCCCUCUGCCCCUCACUGCAUCGGUCGCCGUCGCCGCUCCCUCUGCCCCUCACCCGCCGUCUCACCCAUGCGCCCCCUGCCCUCACCGCGCUGGUCGCCGCCGCUGCUCCCUCUGCCCCUCACCCCGCCGCGACUUACCCAAAUCAACCACCAUUAAUCUCCGGUGAAAAAGAAAGAGGGCAACUCCAUAUCACUGAAAGCCCAGAUCUUGCGGGAAUUGGUGAUCUUUCAGUUGAAUUCCUUCAGACUGAACAAAAAAAGUUGUGCCAUACCGUUUCAGAAGCAGAUGUAUUGAUCUUGUUUGAUAUUUCUUCUAACUCUUUGUCAGGGCAGGCAGAGCAAAUGGGCAUUUGGUUUCUUCAUUUUCCUGAAAAGUUCCUUUUAAUUUGAGAAACCAUAAGUUUGCCUAGCCCCAAGAUUAUGAACAAGCGGAGACUCCUUUUCACAUUAUCAACAGCUAUUACUAGGAUGGUUGACAUGCAAUUUCUAGCAUCACAGGCUAUCACAUACAUUUAUUUUAGUGACUACAGGGGUACCUUGUUUUAUUCAAUUAUAUGGGCUCUUCAAUAUGAUAAUCUGUUCGUGAGCAAUACUUCAUCUGUCAUAGUUGGCUAAGCCCUGAAGCCUGAAGAGAUGCACAACUGAAUUAAAUAUACAAGUCAAAGUCAUGGCUGUUCCUUAUCAAUUCAUUUUGUUAUUGGUUUGUCCAGUUUGGUUGGGCAUUAGAUUUGCAAUUCUGGGAUCAGGCAGUUUGUGACCUGCGAGAUGAAAUUCCAACUGCACAAUACUGACGUUAUGGAAUUUCAAUGAGUUCGUACUGUUCAGGUUGAUCGAGGCAUUGCAGAAAAUGGGGAUAGAAUCAUUUUUUCCAGUUCAAGUAGCAGCAUGGUUGGAAACAAUUGGUCCUGGUGCUUUUGAGAGGAAUAUUUGUGUUAACUCCUCACUCCAUGCUCCCCCCUUCCCCUCCACCAUCGGCGCCCACCCCCUCCCCUGCUCGCUACCUCCUCCGCAGAGACGACAGACAUGUGACGGCGGGAAACUGGUAGCAGUGGCGGUGGCAGUGGCUGCUAGCCAGGAGCGGUCCCCUGCUCGCUACCCCACUCCCCUGCCCUCUUCUGCCCUUCCAUCCACCAUCGACGGCAAGUUUGCAAAAAGUCAAGGGAAAACAGGUACAUACUUAAAUCCAAGAGUCAAGGGAAGACAGGUACAUAGUUAAAUCCAAGCAGCUAUCUGUUCUGACCAAAUGAGAAGAAAUGUGUGAUAACACCAACUGCUGAUUCUAUAAUUUCUGUUUGGUCAAGAUAAUUUGCUUCCAUCUUAAUAUAAUGGUCAAGCAGAUUUUUUUUUCGUCGUUUGUCGGUGGGUAUUUUUGGUUAAGAUUAACACUGCUCUACAACGUCCAUUAAUAGAUUUCUUUGCAUGUUGUUGUCCAGGGAGGACACAUGGUAUGUAAAAUCUAUUUAUUUUUCCUAUGGUGCUACAAAACAUCUGAAAUGGUGUGUUUUCUCCGUGACACUAGAAACAUCUGGAUUAUCCUUGCAAAAAAGAAAGCAUCUGUUUAGUUGGGUUGUCAGAGCCAUUGUAUAAAAAGUUGAUUAGGGAGAAAAUAGCUAAAGCAAGUUAUUCAUUUUGCAUCAGCUUAUUUUAAUGGGAAUAUGUCUAUGACUGCCUUAUUGAGCUGGCAAAUUAUUCAUUUUGCAUGAGCUUAUUUUAAUGGGAAUAUGUUUAUGACUGCCUUAUUGAGCUGGCUCAACUGAUAAUGUCAUUGUCAAUCUGUUAUCAGCAUAUACUCGUGUUACUUGAUAGAAGAUCAUUGAUAAAUGAAUAUUUACUUUGCUUACUGAUAUUUGAUAAGAGUGCCAAUUCUAGCACAACUUGCAAUGUUUUAGUUAUCUUAGCUUGUGCAUUCGUGCUCUGUAUUCAUUUGUCAUAUUGAUGUAAAUUGGGGUAGUAAUGGAAGUGUCAAAUAAUGAGUUUUCAGUCAAAUAGACCAAGGUUCUUUUUUGUUGCUGGCAGCUUGGCUGGUAUGUAAGUUGGACCAAGUCCUGUUGAUAUAUUGUAGUACACUUUACUUUGUAUAUGGUUGCUUGCACAUCAAUUUCAUUUGAUUUCCAUAGAAUAUUUUGAUUCCUUUUUUUACAUUGUUCUCCACUACAAGUUCAAGCAUAAUAAACCUUUAAAUAUGAUACAGUAAAUUAGAAAGAUCAAAGGAGUUAAAUUAAUUCUUCAUUUUAUUUCCGUAUUUGCACCGCAAGUGAAGGUAGAAAUUCAAAUAUGGAAUACAAAACAGUGCAUAUUAUGUUACAUCUCAAGCCUGCUAGGGCUGCAUAUGUACAUGUUGAGCUUAUAUUUUACUCUAAAUAGUUCCAGGAGUAUUUUAAAUAGUUUCUUUAUGGUGAAAUCACUGAAUAAUUCCACCCUGUUGUUAUACUUGCAAAGGAUUGUAUUAUCUAAACUAAUAUAAAAAGUAGCAGUUCGUUCUUUCCUAAGUCCACCCAGAAAAGUAUACACAAGAGUUUCCUGACCAUCAGAUCUGUCCAUCCAACGAUCCAGUUUCCUGACCAUCAGAUCUGUCCAUCCAACGAUCCAGUUUCCUGACCAUCAGAUCUGUCCAUCCAACGAUCCAGAUUUCAAGUUGGAUUAACCAUCCAAUUAACACCGCAAUUAACAGCCCACGACAACCACACCUACGCGCCCCCUGCCCCUCACCGCACCGGUCGCCGCCGCUGCCCCUCGGCCCGCGACGAUAGCAGUCGCGCCUCCCCCUCGGUCACCGCCUCUCCCUCUCCCGGCGCCCUCCCUCACCUCGCCGUCGCCGUGGCCAUGCCUCACCCUCAGUCGCCGCCCCUCAGCCCGCCGUCUAUCUCUCCCUCUCCCGGCGGCAGUCGUGGCCCUCUCUCUCACCGGACGGCGCGGUCGCUAUCUCCAUUGCCGGACACCGCGCUGAUGCCGCUCACCCUGCCUGUCUCCACCGCCGCUCCCUCGGUCCACUGCCCCCGCCGCGCCUCCCCCUGGUCGUCGCCCCUCAGCCCACCACGGACGGCCACGCCUCUACCCCAGCGAGGAGCAGCAGCGACCCUCUCUCUCACCGGACGCUGUGCCCGCUUGUCUCCCUCGCCAGACGCCGCCGCGCUCGCUUUCUCUAGACUCCAGGCCCGCUGCUCCCUCUGCCCUAAAUUUCAGAGAUAAUAUUGCCCAGAGACUUGGAAGACCCUAAAAUGUACUGUAUCCCCCAGUUCAGAUGAGCACUAAAAGAAGAGACAGAAAAGAAAAGACCAAGAGACUGCUGCCUGUCAAGAAAUGGAAGAGAUCAAAUUCAAGGAACCAUUGUUGGAUGGAAAGUUCUGAGAGAUGGCAUCUGGAGGGCGUGACUGUGAGCAUGUGAGGCUAAAGUUGGCAAUUGUAGUGGAGGUGAUAUAUCAUCUGUCUUCCUUCUAUCUGCACUGAGUAGCAAAGCUGGAGAUGAGAAGAAGACUGGUGGCAAUUCACAGGGACAAUAUUUGCCCCCAAAGAGUGAACAGCGAUCUAGACAAGGGUUGUAUCCAGCAAAGCCAAACAGUUCUAAGAAAUGGUUCUGCUGCAUGCAACUUACUGCUGCUGAAUCUUGAAGAUCAUGGGCUUAUUAUUGGAUUGAGGAAGCGGAUACCAUGUUAAAAUCUCAAAAAGCUCCACGAUAUCCAUGGGAACUUGUUAGCAAAUCUGCAGGUAAAGUCCUGCCAAAUGUUUUGAUGGAUACAAAUUCCAAGAAGGUAUACUUAUGAUGCACUGAAGUGUUAUGCACCAGGAAUGGUUGAAGUUCUCAUUGUCAUUGAUAGUGUGCAGAACUCAGCAUUUUUAGAAUGAGAGGUCAAAGAGCAGAUCCAGAAGAUAAAGUCUGGAAUAUCUGAAGUUUGAGAGAAUUUUGUGUACUACGCUGACGCGCUCGCCGUGCCGGUGCUCGUCAAGAAGAUGUUCCGCGUGUCCGACACGGCCACCGAGCUCGUCGUGUCCUCCCACCGAGCUUGCGUGUCCUCGCUCCACCCCAUCUGCAAGAAAUGCAGCGACGACGUGGAGUUUCCGGCGACGGCUGCGGCGAGGCGGGUCGCCGUGGUCGAGGCGGUCCAGGUGGGCGUUUUCCAGAAUGUGAUGAUGCUGCUGCAGGUUGGGUGCAGGGAGGCAACAAAGGAGAAGGCGACCGUGCUGCUCAAGUUGAUGAUCAAGUAUGAAUCCAGAGGAAACUGUAUUGAUGCCAUGGAUUUCAGAGGGCUCAAGAGGGUUUCUUGAAUCGAAGCAAAAACUAAAUUGUAAUUAUGAGAAUAUGUCUUAGAAUAGGUCCAUAUAUACACAUGGUACAUCGUGCAAGAAUUUUAGUUAGGAAAUGUACAGAUGUUAAGGAUGUUGUCUUUAUAAACAUUUUUAUUUGCUUGA